rnacentral:rRNA from 1 species
GUCGAGCGAAGUCUUCGGACUUAGCGGCGGACGGGUGAGUAACGCGUGGGAACAUACCCUUUGGUACGGAAUAGCCUCGGGAAACUGGGAGUAAUACCGUAUGUGCCCUUCGGGGGAAAGAUUUAUCGCCAAAGGAUUGGCCCGCGUUGGAUUAGGUAGUUGGUGGGGUAAUGGCCUACCAAGGCAACGACGGGUAGCUGAUUUGAGAGGAUGAUCAGCCACACUGGGACUGAGAUACGGCCCAGACUCC